UAGGGAAUCUUCGGCAAUGGGGGGAACCCUGACCGAGCAACGCCGCGUGAGUGAAGAAGGUUUUCGGAUCGUAAAGCUCUGUUGUUAAGGAAGAACGAGUGUGAGAAUGGAAAGUUCAUGCUGUGACGGUACUUAACCAGAAAGGGACGGCUAACUACGUGCCAGCAGCCGCGGUAAUACGUAGGUCCCGAGCGUUGUCCGGAUUUAUUGGGCGUAAAGCGAGCGCAGGCGGUUAGAAAAGUCUGAAGUGAAAGGCAGUGGCUCAACCAUUGUAGGCUUUGGAAACUGUUUAACUUGAGUGCAGAAGGGGAGAGUGGAAUUCCAUGUGUAGCGGUGAAAUGCGUGGAUAUAAGGAGGAGCACCGGUGGCGAAAGCGGCUCUCUGGUCUGUAACUGACGCUGGGGCUGGAAAGCGUGGGGAGCGAACAGG
rnacentral:rRNA from 1 species